UGGGGAAUCUUGCGCAAUGCGCGAAAGCGUGACGCAGCAACGCCGCGUGGGGGAAGAAGGCCUUCGGGUUGUAAACCCCUUUCAGGAGGGACGAAGUGUGUGCGGUGAAUAGCCGUUGCACAUGACGGUACCUCCACAAGAAGCCCCGGCUAACUACGUGCCAGCAGCCGCGGUAAUACGUAGGGGGCAAGCGUUGUCCGGAAUCAUUGGGCGUAAAGAGCGCGUAGGCGGUCCGGUAAGUCGGUUGUGAAAACUGGGGGCUCAACCCUCAGAGGCCGACCGAUACUGCCGGGCUAGAGUCCGGAAGAGGCGAGUGGAAUUCCUGGUGUAGCGGUGAAAUGCGCAGAUAUCAGGAGGAACACCAAUGGCGAAGGCAGCUCGCUGGGACGGUACUGACGCUGAGGCGCGAAAGCGUGGGGAGCAAACAGG
rnacentral:rRNA from 1 species